UGCGGANGGNUCNUUACCGAGUUCAUGCCCUCACGGGNAGAUCUCCCACCCUAUGUUAUCAUUACCUUUGUUGCUUUGGCGGGCCGCCAGGCUUCGGCCAGGCUACCGGCUCCGGCUGGUAAGCGCCCGCCAGAGGACCCCANNCUNUNAAUGUUNGUGUCNUCUGANUNCUNUNUAAUANUUAAAACUUUCAACAACGGAUCUCUUGGUUCUGGCAUCNAUGAANAACGCANCGAAAUGCNAUAAGUAAUGGAAUUGCAAAUUCAGAAUCAUCAAUCUUUGAACGCACAUUGCGCCCCUUGGUAUUCCGAGGGGAUGCCUGUUCGAGCGUCAUUACAACCCUCAAGCACUGUUGGGAUUGGGGUCCGCUGCUAAAUCCAGCGGGCCUUAAAAUCAGUGGCGGCGCCCUCAGGCUCUGAGCGUAGUAAAUCUCGUUAGAGCCUGGGGGGGUAGUCAUCAACCCCCAACUUUCUUAAGUUUGCACCUAU
rnacentral:rRNA from 1 species